rnacentral:rRNA from 1 species
GCACUUCGGGAUAAGCCUGGGAAACUGGGUCUAAUACCGAAUAGGACCAUUUAGCGCAUGCUUUAUGGUGGAAAGCUUUUGCGGUGUGGGAUGGGCCCGCGGCCUAUCAGCUUGUUGGUGGGGUGACGGCCUACCAAGGCGACGACGGGUAGCCGGCCUGAGAGGGUGUCCGGCCACACUGGGACUGAGAUACGGCCCAGACUCCUACGGGAGGCAGCAGUGGGGAAUAUUGCACAAUGGGCGCAAGCCUGAUGCAGCGACGCCGCGUGGGGGAUGACGGCCUUCGGGUUGUAAACCUCUUUCAGCAGGGACGAAGCGCAAGUGACGGUACCUGCAGAAGAAGCACCGGCCAACUACGUGCCAGCAGCCGCGGUAAUACGUANGGUGCGAGCGUUGUCCGGAAUUACUGGGCGUAAAGAGCUCGUAGGUGGUUUGUCGCGUUGUUCGUGAAAACUCACAGCUCAACUGUGGGCGUGCGGGCGAUACGGGCAGACUGGAGUACUGCAGGGGAGACUGGAAUUCCUGGUGUAGCGGUGG